CAGUGUUCAGAAUAUCAAUCAAAACAAACACUCAGGAUGCGUUUCCUGUUGGAAACAUUCUGAUUGUAUAAUGGGAUAGCGCCUCUCGCAACUGCUUCGCCUGGCUGGACGAGAAAAAUCAAACAGUUGUGCGGGUCACCAUAAAUUCUCAGUAGUUUUAUCGUGACGGACGACAGUUUAAUAAAAGUACUUGUAAAAAUUUAAAAACACGGCGAAAGUGAACAUCUUUCCCUCACAAACACAACUACAAUUUGAUUUUAAUCCUACUGAUGUUAAAAAACGUUAUAACAACAAAUAAAUUUAUUAAUUUGCUGUAUAUCAAAUCAAACAAAAUACGCUAAUGAUCGGCUUCAUGUAUCACUCACUCACUGCCUGAUCCAUUCACUCCUGAUCGAAGACCAACAAGAUUCGCCAUAUGCAUUGAGCAUUGGUGAGAUUCCAAUUUGAUGAUGGUGCUGCACUGUUUUGACAGCAAGCAUCGUGCGAGGUGAUCUGUAUUUUAGCGAUGAAUUGAACGAUCGAUGAUCUGGUAGGUCCAGUAGCAAUCAAUAACGAAACCCGACCGCUGUACGUUCAGGUGCGAAGGGCAAUCAGAAACAUUCAUUGAAAAUGAGUGAUAUUUGGAACACUGGGU